rnacentral:rRNA from 1 species
AGAACGAACGCUGGCGGCAGGCUUAACACAUGCAAGUCGAACGCUCGUAGCAAUACGGGAGUGGCAGACGGGUGAGUAACGCGUGGGAACAUACCCUCCGGUUCGGAAUAGCUCAGGGAAACUUGGAUUAAUACCGGAUACGGCCGAGAGGCGAAAGAUUUAUCGCCGGAGGAUUGGCCCGCGUUCGAUUAGCUAGUUGGUGAGGUAACGGCUCACCAAGGCGAUGAUCGAUAGCUGGUCUGAGAGGAUGAUCAGCCACAUUGGGACUGAGACACGGCCCAAACUCCUACGGGAGGCAGCAGUGGGGAAUAUUGGACAAUGGGCGCAAGCCUGAUCCAGCCAUGCCGCGUGAGUGAUGACGGCCUUAGGGUUGUAAAGCUCUUUCGCUCGGGACGAUAAUGACGGUACCGAGAUAAGAACGCCCGGCUAACUUCGCGCCAGCAGCCGC